AUACGGAGGAUCCGAGCGUUAUCCGGAUUUAUUGGGUUUAAAGGGUGCGCAGGCGGCCAUUUAAGUCAGCGGUUAAAUCGUGGGGCUCAACCCCAUUCUGCCGUUGAUACUGGGUGGCUUGAUUGCGGUCGAGGUUGGCGGAAUACGUUGUGUAGCGGUGAAAUGCAUAGAUAUGACGAAGAACACCGAUUGCGUAGGCAGCUGACCAGACCGCAAAUGACGCUCAUGCACGAAAGUGCGGGGAUCGAACAGGAUUAGAUACCCUGGUAGUCCGCACAGUAAACGAUGAAUACUUGUUUUCGGCGAUAUAAUGUCGGAGGCAAAGCGAAAGCGAUAAGUAUUCCACCUGGGGAGUACGCCGGCAACGGUGAAACUCAAAGGAAUUGACGGGG
rnacentral:rRNA from 1 species